GACCGGAUUGUCGGUAUGGAGGAGCUUUUUGUGAACGAAGGACUUUCAUUUGGUUAUUCUGUGACCAUGAGUUCCAUCUGUGUGUUGACAAGGAGAAUGAAGAAUGAAGACGUCAACGCCUCCAUUAGCUUCUCCAGUUAGCCACUCAGUUGCCGACUGGUUCGCUACAAUUGCAGUCAGCUCGACAGGACUCUGUCGUUAUAAAGCAGCUUUUUGCGGACAAAGGACUUGGGUUUUGUUCUUCUGUGACUAUUUAAGGUCCAUCUGUUUAUUGACUAGAAGGAGCACAGUAAAAAUGUAGACUUCAUCUGCAAGCUAGCCAGCUACGUAGCCGCCACUGCUAUUGACUUGAUAGAAGUCACAGUCUGUAUGGAGCAGGACUCUGAUCUGUUGACAUGAAGAAGCACUGAGACACCUCUGGACAUGAAAAAGUGUUCCCUCGGGAAGCUGGAGCUGGAGCUGAAGGCUGGACAGGAAGUCACAUCAGAGUUCAGUGUUGAGUUUCAGCUUGGCGUGGGAGUGAAGCCACGAAAUUCGAAGAGC